UCGGGAAUUUUGGGCAAUGGGCGAAAGCCUGACGGAGCAACGCCGCGUGGGGGAAGAAGGCCUUCGGGUUGUAAACCCCUGUUGCGAGGGAAGAAGAUCUGACGGUACCUCGCGAGGAAGCCACGGCUAACUACGUGCCAGCAGCCGCGGUAAUACGUAGGUGGCAAGCGUUGUCCGGAUUUACUGGGCGUAAAGCGCGCGCAGGCGGUUCGAUAAGUCGGGUGUGAAACCUCCAGGCUCAACCUGGAGACGCCACCCGAUACUGUCGUGACUAGAGUCCAGUAGGGGAGCGUGGAAUUCCUGGUGUAGCGGUGAAAUGCGCAGAUAUCAGGAGGAACACCAGCGGCGAAGGCGGCGCUCUGGGCUGGAACUGACGCUGAGGAGCGAAAGCGUGGGGAGCAAACGGGAUUAGAUACCCGCGUAGUCCCUGAGCGGGCUGGCAAGGCGCAU
rnacentral:rRNA from 1 species